rnacentral:rRNA from 1 species
CCUUAACCUACUAAAUAGUGCUGCUAGCUUUUGCUGGUAUAGUCACUUCUUAGAGGGACUAUCGAUUUCAAGUCGAUGGAAGUUUGAGGCAAUAACAGGUCUGUGAUGCCCUUAGACGUUCUGGGCCGCACGCGCGCUACACUGACGGAGCCAGCGAGUUUAUACCUUGGCCGAGAGGUCUGGGAAAUCUUGUGAAACUCCGUCGUGCUGGGGAUAGAGCAUUGUAAUUAUUGCUCUUCAACGAGGAAUUCCUAGUAAGCGCAAGUCAUCAGCUUGCGUUGAUUACGUCCCUGCCCUUUGUACACACCGCCCGUCGCUACUACCGAUUGAAUGGCUUAGUGAGGCCUCCGGAUUGGCUUAAGAAAGGGGGCAACCUCAUUCUGGAGCUGAAAAGCUGGUCAAACUUGGUCAUUUAGAGGAAGUAAAAGUCG